rnacentral:lncRNA from 1 species
GGCCGGGAGGAGAGCUGGGAUUCCCGAGACUGAAACCUUCCAAAAAGGCGAACUCAUCGACAGCUUCAAUGGCGUUAUCCAGAUCCUUCCUCUGCAGGGUUUUCCUCUUGCCCUGCUGGGCGUACACAAACGCGUCCUUAGCGAUGGUCUCCACGAACAGCUCCGCGGCCCGCGCCAGCACGAACACGGCCUCCUGGCUGGCCAGGCUGACGUCCGGGUCCGCCUUCACCAACGCCUUCACGCGGGACAACGGCAGCCGAGCGGCGCGGGCCGCUCCCGCACACGGCGCCGCACCGCCGCCGUCCUCCGCCGCCGCCGCCGCCGUCUCCGCUGCCGCCGCCGCCGCCGCCAUCCCGCGCC